rnacentral:lncRNA from 1 species
GAUGUGUAGAAACACAAUGAACAGGGGGCUGUCCAUUUAAGAUUCCAUUGCAUUGGGUUACACUGGUAGCAAUGAAUCAACUACUUUUAUUUUCUAUGUAUUUCCUAUGGAACUCAUCCUGAGCUAACAAUCCAGAGAAGCCAUCUUUUUCACUUUUCUGCAGAGGGCUCUACUUACUUUGGCUGUUGUGUUUGGGCUUCUAGACCAGCCUUGAUUCCUGGCAUGAAGGCAUAUUUGGCUUCUCUGGUCUCUGCCUCGUAUCCCUUCAGAAUUUCAAAAAAUGAAAGUGAUUUUGAUGUAAUGUGCCCUGUAUAUUUACCCUUUGGGAUAUUUCCUUCCCACUCUUUGGCCCAGAUUUUUGACUCUGUUUGUCCUAAACCACAGCCUCAAGUUUGGACCAUUGCAAAAUAUAAUAAGGUGACUGCAGUUUUCACUGUAGAGGAUAGUGAGUCCGUCAGUCAAGUAGAUUACUUGGGAGUUCAGUUUCUAUGGGAUGGAAGCAGGAAAAGACAGAGAAGAGCAGAGGCACUCAAUCACCUCCUUCAGGGAAAGGAGGAUUGUCAGUCUUCAUUUGGUAUCAGAGAUGCCUUUGAACUUCAGGAAAGCCGCCAUUUUGUUUUUGUUCACUUCUCUAAUGCUUUGUGUCUGCAACAUGAAACACAAGAUAUGUUGCCAUGGAGCUGCUGAUGAGUCACUGAGUCAUGGCUUGCUUUGCUCAAGUGACUGUGGUUUUUAUAACACUGAUACUCAAAUCAGACACCCGUGGAUUCUACUUUUAAAAACUUCAAGGCCCAUCCUAACUCAGAGUACCUCAUCACAAAUUGGAUUGCAGAGAACUCAAAUGAAGAGGACAAGCAAACUCAGGAAUGUGGAGCACCCAUCAUCUGCCAUGGUCAAGGAGAUAAUCUGUGGAGAGAGAGAGAAAACAGAUGGAGAGAGCUGCACACGCAGAGAUCCACGAGGCUCCUGAGAAUAAACAAGAAUCUCUUGGCUUCUCAAGAGCCUUCCAGACUUUCCUCCUUAUGUUUGGGAGUUUUCCUGACUGCCCUCCUUGACCUUGGUCAGCAAGGACACUUAUAAACUUGGCGGUGUGGGGUGUGUGUGUGUGUGUGUGUGUGUAGUGGGGAAGGUCAUGAGAUUUAAGCCAGUUUCUAUUAUUUUUUUUUUGUCUUUUGUCUUUUUAUGGCCACACCCAUGGCAUAUGGAGGUUCCCAGGCUAGGGGUCUAAUUGGAGCUGUAGCUGCUGGCCUACGCCACAGCCACAGCAACACGGGAUCUGAGCUGUGUCUGUGACCUACAGCACAGCUCACAGCAACACUGGAUGCUUAACCCACUGAGCAAGGCCAGGGAUUGAACCCGCAACUUCAUGGUUCCUAGUCGGAUUCAUUAACCAUUGAGCCACAAUGGGAACUCCUGAGUUUCUACUCUUCAUAUACAUAAAGUUCCUAAAGCAUAUUGGUAAUACUUUUCUAUUUUAAUUGAACUUUGGUAUUUACUCUAUCAUUUUCCAAUGGAUGUGGCAUCAACUUAACAUUCUCUAGCCUCUCCUUUCAUUAUUACCUGGCCCCUAAAUAACUUUUGCCCCCACUUCUUGUCCCUCUUCCUCCUUUUGGGGCUCCACCAUCUUUGCCUCUGCUCAGCUAUUUCUUCAACUUCAUCCUUAUUCCUAGAUGUUCUAGGCAAUCUCCUACUCAACUCAAAGCUCAACAAAAUAUCUCUUCCUCUGUAAUGUCUUUCUGAAUAAUUCAGGAAAGAUGAAUCAUUUUGCUGUUUAUAUUCACACAGUAUUUUAUUUGCCUUUAAUAUAUUAUGUUAUCAUUAGUGGUUAAAGUGUUUCCCUCAAGGGUAGAGACUGGGUAUCCCUCUCUAUUACUUAUCUUUUAUCACCAUCAUGUAGGACGGCACCAGGAGGGGAAUAAUAAGUGCUCAGAAAAAAAAAAUAUAUGUUUUGUAUGAAUGGACUCAGGAAAUAUCACAGCAAAUAUGUGUAUGUGAUGUUUUGUGAAUUCUAGAAAUAAAGUAUGUCAUCC